AUUGAACGCUGGCGGCAGGCCUAACACAUGCAAGUCGAGCGGAUGAGGAGAGCUUGCUCUUCGAUUCAGCGGCGGACGGGUGAGUAAUGCCUAGGAAUCUGCCUGGUAGUGGGGGACAACGUUUCGAAAGGAACGCUAAUACCGCAUACGUCCUACGGGAGAAAGCACGGGACCUUCGGGCCUUGCGCUAUCAGAUGAGCCUAGGUCGGAUUAGCUAGUUGGUGAGGUAAUGGCUCACCAAGGCGACGAUCGGUAACUGGUCUGAGAGGAUGAUCAGUCACACUGGAAAUGAGACACGGUCCAGACUCCUACGGGAGGCAGCAGUGGGGAAUAUUGGACAAUGGGCGAAAGCCUGAUCCAGCCAUGCCGCGUGUGUGAAGAAGGUCUUCGGAUUGUAAAGCACUUUAAGUUGGGAGGAAGGGCAGUAAGUUAAUACCUUGCUGUUUUGACGUUACUGACAGAAUAAGCACCGGCUAACUCUGUGCCAGCCGCCGCCGUAACAC
rnacentral:rRNA from 1 species